rnacentral:rRNA from 1 species
UAUCAGGCGUAGUCGAUGGACAACGGGUUGAUAUUCCCGUACCGGCGCUGACGCGCCAAUGCUGAAUCUGGUUGUGCUAACCGUCUGAGCAUGUGUGUCUUUUCGGAGAUGUGUGUGUGAGGUCGGGAUCCUGGCUGGUAGUAGGCAUGCGAU